rnacentral:tRNA from 1 species
GGGCAAUUAGCUCAGCUGGUAGAGCGCCUCGCUUACAACGAGGUGGUCGGGGGUUCGAGUCCCUCAUUGCCCA